rnacentral:lncRNA from 1 species
CUUGGUGACCGUGAUUAUUGACCAUGUAACGGAGCCUCUCAACUUUGGAACAGUUCAAACAUUUUAUUUCUUCAUGGUGUUCUUCAGAAAACUGCUUCUGUAGCUCAUGUGGACAUUAACUUUGCUGUUCUCAGAGCUCGAAUCUUUUGGCCCUAUGUUCUGUUUAUUGUUUGCUUUUAUUUUUAUUUUUUUGCUUAGCUGAUUGAUGUCAUUGUGCAUGUUGUGCCAGUUAAAGCAAAUUUGCUUUUCUUUUCUUUUAGCUUGCUUGCUUUGAUUUAUGCAUGUUUGCUUUGCUAUUAUAUUAUGCGUGCGUUUUAUUAGUAUGUGUAUUCUGUCAAAUGUGCUGAUAAUUUGUAAUUUGUAUUUGUUUUAAAUAUCACACAGAGCUCAUGUUUACCUUGUUGGGAUCAUCCCCUUGUUGAAUUGUACAUAUCAUGCCCGACUAUAAAUAAAAUUUACUUGCUUACUUACUACUGUAAUGAAUGAUUAAAAAUAG